rnacentral:rRNA from 1 species
GCAAGUCUGGUGCCAGCAGCCGCGGCUAAUUCCAGCUCCAAUAGCGUAUAUUAAAGUUGUUGCAGUUAAAAAGCUCGUAGUUGAACCUCGGGAUCAAUGGAUCGGUCAUGCCAUCGGUAUGUACUGGUCUCAUUGGUUCUCACCUUCUAAGGAACCAUGAUGUCAUUCAGUUGAUGUUGUGGGGAAUUAGGACUGUUACCUUGAAAAAAUUAGAGUGUUUAAAGCAGGCUAACGCUUGAAUACAUUAGCAUGGAAUAAUGAAAUAGGACAUCGCAUUCUAUUUUGUUGGUUUCUAGGAUCGAUGUAAUGAUUAAUAGGGAUAGUUGGGGGCAUUAGUAUUCAAUUGUCAGAGGUGAAAUUCUUGGAUUUAUUGAAGACUAACUACUGCGAAAGCAUUUGCCAAGGAUGUUUUCAUUAAUCAAGAACGAAAGUUAGGGGAUCGAAGACGAUCAGAUACCGUCGUAGUCUUAACCAUAAACUAUGCCGACUAGGGAUCGGAUGAUGUUGAUUUUUUAAUGACUCAUUCGGCGCCUUACGGGAAAC